CAGCCGCCACGGUAAUACGAAGGGGGCUAGCGUUGUUCGGAUUUACUGGGCGUAAAGCGCACGUAGGCGGACUUUUAAGUCAGGGGUGAAAUCCCGGGGCUCAACCCCGGAACUGCCUUUGAUACUGGAAGUCUUGAGUAUGGUAGAGGUGAGUGGAAUUCCGAGUGUAGAGGUGAAAUUCGUAGAUAUUCGGAAGAACACCAGUGGCGAAGGCGACUGACUGGACAAGUAUUGACGCUGAUGCACGAAAGCUAGGGGAGCAAACAGGAUUAGAUACCCCAGUAGUCCCUGUCUCUUAUAC
rnacentral:rRNA from 1 species